rnacentral:rRNA from 1 species
CCUACGGGCGGCAGCAGUGAGGAAUAUUGGUCAAUGGACGAGAGUCUGAACCAGCCAAGUAGCGUGAAGGAUGACUGCCCUAUGGGUUGUAAACUUCUUUUAUAUGGGAAUAAAACGUUCCACGUGUGGGAUUUUGUAUGUACCAUAUGAAUAAGGAUCGGCUAACUCCGUGCCAGCAGCCGCGGUAAUACGGAGGAUCCGAGCGUUAUCCGGAUUUAUUGGGUUUAAAGGGAGCGUAGGUUGAUUGUUAAGUCAGUUGUGAAAGUUUGCGGCUCAACCGUAAAAUUGCAGUUGAAACUGGCAGUCUUGAGUACAGUAGAGGUGGGCGGAAUUCGUGGUGUAGCGGUGAAAUGCUUAGAUAUCACGAAGAACUCCGAUUGCGAAGGCAGUUCACUGGACUGCAACUGACACUGAGGCUCGAAAGUGUGGGUAUCAAACAGGAUUAGAUACCCCGGUAGUC